CUAUCGCUGAUACUUUCUUAAACCACAGGUGUGCGGGGUCUCCUCCCGUUAGAUGUCAGAUGCAGACUGACUGACUGAUAGACAACCUACUUGGAACGCAAAUUUGCGGUGCUCUUGCCAAAUUGGCAAGGGCUGGUCCUGUUCUUGUUGAGGUGCUGCUUGCCUGUGCACGGAACGGGAGUGCAGCACCUGUCUGCAAUUCCUCCUGACGACGGAUUAAAAAGAUGCUAGAACCAGGUGGCCGGUUUUGUGGCUGCAGAACCAGCGGCGCUGGGACCGCGGAGCCGGCUGCCCCUCGGCGCGCGUGCGGACGGAGGGCGCGUGCGGCUGCGCGGGAACGCGCUGAAGCGGCUGCGGGCAGCGCGCCGGAGCCGGGACGGAGCGGAGCUAAAGAAGUAAACAGCUCAUGGCACGUUUAACAAAAAGAUGACAGGCGGAUACAAAAGCUAUCCAGCAUCUUUGGGCAGCCAUUGAGAUUAUAUGGAACCAGAAGCAAAUUGCCAACAUAGACCGUAUUACCAAAUUUCCAAUCAAGAUGUAAAGGGUGAAGAAUCAAAGAACAAAGAAUCAGUAACAAGUGAAAUUUAAGCCUUCAGUCAUUCAGAUUCCUAAUAUUCAUAACUCAUUGUCAUGUUAUUUCUCUAAAUGCCAUGUAUAGUUUAAUGUCCAAUAAAAUCAAGUUACAUAUAUCACUUCCUUUUCUUUAAUCCAAACAAAUUAUGCACAUCUAAUUUGGGUAAUUAUAACAUGGCAUUAGAAGUUUAUAAUUAUUUUAAGUAAUAGUUAUAGUUUAAAGACAUGCUUUUGAAACAGUUAUGGAUUUUUUACUAGUCUCUGCUGGCAUUAUUAGCUAGGCAGUGUGAUUGGGGAGGUUAACUUAUUUUUUAUUGACUACUGGGAAAAAGCAAUCAAAAUAGUC